GGGUGAUCAUAGGUUCGUCUGAACCCAACUGCAGUGCAGAGUCGGAAUGGGGGGCUUGGCCCCGGUCCAGCACGGUCAAAAUUAGCUCUCAGUUAUAUUACAUGCAGUCAGCCAGUGGAAGCGGCUGAGAUCCUGACGCCCCAGUCCCGCAGCCUUGUAUGGGGUGUCCGAGCCCCGCAAGGCUGCUGCUCGGGUCCUCUUUCGUCCACAAGACGCCUUUUCCAGCAGCAACUUUACAGCGAAAGGACAAAAGCAAAGACUUUAUGUGUUCUUUCUUCAACAUGACACCAACAGGAGCAAUGGGGGAUGCCAUUAGAGCUGACGGAUGUGUUCCUGAACCUGGAGGCACGGAGAGGAACGACCACGAAAGAUCGACAUUCCUUCUGUCUGAUGCAGGAUAGAGAACGGCCCUCUGGGGGAAUUGUAUCCUCAUGUAUAUUAUUUUUUAUUUCCUAAAUCAUGUAUAUCCUUAUUUUUUAUGGUUAUGGUGAGCGGUACAGAUGAAUUAUGACGCUGGGGCUCUUCCCCCAUCUAUGUGAUUAAUAACAUUUUAGAAAAACCUGGGACUCUAAGCCUUGAUGAUAUGUUCUUCGGAGGGGGCGGCAGUAAAGACACACAGCACCUCGAGACAGACCUGACAGACUGGAGCUUCACUAAAGACCCACAUGUCUGUGUUUGCAAACCCCACAGGGGGCCCUCGGGGGUCCGGCGGCAGCGGCACGUCUUCCACUUGUCCACUUCUACUUUACACGGCUGGACUCUUUCAUAUUUCUGUGAAUUCCUGUGAACAAACCCAUCAAGAAAUGUCAACCGUUACUGACAUGCAUUGUGAAAAACACUAGACAAUAUUUGAUUUUAAAGGACGAUACCAAUGUCAGGGUUCCAACACAGAAAAACUAAAUUGGUGUUUAACAUUUUUUUUUUAACUCAAAUUCAAUUAAAUUCACCUAAAAAAUGGGAGAAGAAACAAUUUUCACUUAGAAAUUAAAUACAUAAAAAAAUUAACAAAAAAAUUGGUGUAGAAACCAUUUUCACCCAGAAAUUAUAUGCAUUAAAAAUGGUGUACAGUUUUUUUUUACUCAAAAAUAAUAUUUAAUUCACUCCAAAAAAAAAUGGGCGAAGAAACAAUUUUCAUUUAGAAAAAAAUAAAAUAAAAAAUUGGUCUACAAACUUUUUUUCACUCAAAAAUUCAAUCAAAUUCACCCAAAAAUUUGUGUAGAAACUAUUUUUUAAAUUAAAUGCAUUAAAAAACUGGUGUACAAAUUUUUUUUCACUCAAACCUUCAAUUAAAUUCACAAAAAAAAAAAAUGGUGUAGAAACAAUUUUCACUUAGCAGUGAAUUACAUAAAAAGUGGAGAAACAAUCUUCACUUAGAAAUUAAAUGUAUACAUAAAAAAAUUGGUGUACCAACAAUUUAACCAGAAACUGGAAGUAAAGAAAGGCGAGUAACACAUUGCAAUUAUUUUUGAAAUUUAUAAGUAGAAAGACUGAUAUUCUUUUAAUUUUUGUAACAAGCAUGCUCAAAUAUCAGUGAAUCCUAAAAUUAUUUAUCAUGGAAAUUGACUUCAUGAAAUUGAAUUAUUAAUAAAAUGAUUUAUACACCUGGAAUAUUUAUAAUGAAAUUUAAAAAAAAAAGCAAAUGAGACCUAAAUGUAAAUACAUUUUUAUGCAACUUAAAUUUCUCUAAAAAGUAUUUGGAAAUCAAAACUAUUACUUCUGUUAACCACUCGGUUAUUUUUGACAUUAUCGCCCAAUAUUUCAGUCUAUCACUCCCAAAAAUCAGACUCCCAGAAACACUGGGAUUCAUCACUAAACCAUGUCCACGUCACUCAGUACUCACACCUUACAGUAUUUACUAAGGCUAAGAGUCCCCACUUCUCACGCUGUUACUAGAAAAGCUACAGAGUUCAUCUUUUGUUUUUGUUUUUUGAAUUUGCUUGUUAGGUUUUGCUUUUUAAUUUGUGUGUUGCUUUGCCAGUAUAUUAAAGUGUAACCAUGUACGUUGUGAUUUAGAAGUAGCUGUAGAGAUGCAUUGUUUCCUUGUGGUAAGUGACUGAGAUGCUGCCACGGAUUUGAGACACUGAUGAAUGGUGCUAUUUUGGACUUUAAUCUGCUCCUUGGGUAAGGAAGCUCAGAUGGGUUUGAUUUUAUACUUUCAUGUUCGGAGGAGGUGUUGGUUUCUUUGUUGUCUGGUUGUCGUAACUCGGAUCGGGUCGACUUUAUUCCCCCUCGCUGUUUCUGUGUGGCUUUCUCAUUGGACAGAAAAGCAGAGUUGGUGUUUUGUUUAGUUUUUUAUACUCCAAGAGGAUUAUUUGCCAAAUUCUGAAACUAUAGACAGUCGGAGCAAUCACAAAACUGCAAUUCUUAACACUAUUAACCCUUUAAUGUAAAGUUUUAAUGACAGUUCCUGACACUAGUUCAGGCAAUAGAAGAACUCUCAUACUUGUAGGACGGGAUUCCUUACGAUUUUCUUGAGCGACGAACUCAACAAAUACAUCAAGGACACAUUCAAACAGAAACACUGCGGAUGCAGUCGUUGUUGUAUUUUGCCGUGCAUGGUCCCAGGUGACGGUGGUCUACAUAGUGUACAUGCACAGAAGAGAUUUAUCAUCCUACAUCAGUCUAACAAGGACAAAAAGCACAAGAUCCUUACAUGUACUUUCAAAAGCAAAACAUGUAGCAGUAAAACCAAUGCAUUUGGAUUUGUACAUGAGUUUCAUGGAUUUUAGGAUGAGAACCCAAUGUUUUAUAUUCAUUCAUUGAAGUAGCACGCUAUCAUCACUGGGUAUUUGCAGUUUUGUCUUUGCUUCCAGUUCACAGACUUUUAAAAAUCCCAAUUCAGAGUCCGACUGGAAAGCCCACGCUAGUUUCUUAGUCUUCCAUUUAUUUUCCCACUUCUCCCAGCUUGCUCUAGUCUCUCUUUAGUGCUGACCGAUCGCAUGCUCUUCCUCCUCGCCGUUUCUUCUCAUAGAUUAGAUAUGCCAACUGUGUUGUAAAUAGCUUAUACCGUGUUGAAUUAUUCUGUAAUAUGUGUAUGAUUGGUGUAUAAAACAUGAAGUCUAGCCUUGUCAUCUUUAUAAGGAUGCACAGGUAUAUAUCACGUAAUUUUGCAAUUUAAGCUGUAGUUGAAUAAAUAUGCAAGCUCUCGCUA